rnacentral:rRNA from 1 species
UACAGAGGGUGCGAGCGUUGUCCGGAAUCACUGGGCGUAAAGGGCGCGUAGGUGGCGACCCAAGUCAAUGGUGAAAGCUCGCCGCUCAACGGCGAGUCGGCCACUGAUACUGGGUUGCUUGAGCACUGUAGAGGCUAAUGGAAUUCCGGGUGUAGCGGUGGAAUGCGUAGAGAUCCGGAAGAACACCGGUGGCGAAGGCGGUUAGCUGGGCAGUUGCUGACACUGAGGCGCGACAGCGUGGGGAGCAAACAGG